rnacentral:rRNA from 1 species
CCUACGGGGGGCUGCAGUGGGGAAUAUUGGGCAAUGGGCGAAAGCCUGACCCAGCAACGCCGCGUGAAGGAAGAAGGCUUUCGGGUUGUAAACUUCUUUUGACAGGGAAGAGCAGAAGACGGUACCUGUCGAAUAAGCCACGGCUAACUACGUGCCAGCAGCCGCGGUAAUACGUAGGUGGCAAGCGUUGUCCGGAUUUACUGGGUGUAAAGGGCGUGUAGCCGGGCUGACAAGUCAGAUGUGAAAUCCGGGGCUCAACCCCCGAACUGAAUUUGAAACUGUUGGUUUUGAGUAUCGGAGGGGAAGGGGGAAUUCGUAGUGGAGCGGUGAAAGGCGUAGAUAUUAGGAGGAACACCAGGGGGGAAGGCGGCCUGCUGGACAACAACUGACGGUGGGGCGCGAAAGCGGGGGGAGCAAAAAGGAUUAGAUACCCCUGUAGUC